UACGAAGGGGGCUAGCGUUGCUCGGAAUCACUGGGCGUAAAGCGCACGUAGGCGGCUUUCUAAGUCAGGGGUGAAAUCCUGGAGCUCAACUCCAGAACUGCCUUUGAUACUGGAGAGCUCGAGUCCGGAAGAGGUGAGUGGAACUGCGAGUGUAGAGGUGAAAUUCGUAGAUAUUCGCAAGAACACCAGUGGCGAAGGCGGCUCACUGGCCCGGUACUGACGCUGAGGUGCGAAAGCGUGGGGAGCAACAGGA
rnacentral:rRNA from 1 species